rnacentral:rRNA from 1 species
CGCGGCCUAUCAGCUUGUUGGUGGGGUAAUGGCCUACCAAGGCGACGACGGGUAGCCGGCCUGAGAGGGCGACCGGCCACACUGGGACUGAGACACGGCCCAGACUCCUACGGGAGGCAGCAGUGGGGAAUAUUGCGCAAUGGGCGAAAGCCUGACGCAGCGACGCCGCGUGAGGGAUGAAGGCCUUCGGGUCGUAAACCUCUUUCAGCAGGGAAGAAGCGAAAGUGACGGUACCUGCAGAAGAAGCACCGGCUAACUACGUGCCAGCAGUCGCGGUAAUACGUAGGGUGCAAGCGUUGUCCGGAAUUAUUGGGCGUAAAGAGCUCGUAGGCGGUCUGUCGCGUCUGCUGUGAAAACUCAGGGCUUAACCCUGAGCUUGCAGUGGGUACGGGCAGACUAGAGUGCGGUAGGGGAGACUGGAAUUCCUGGUGUAGCGGUGAAAUGCGCAGAUAUCAGGAGGAACACCGGUGGCGAAGGCGGGUCUCUGGGCCGUAACUGACGCUGAGGAGCGAAAGCAUGGGGAGCGAACAGGAUUAGAUACCCUGGUAGUCCAUGCCGUAAACGUUGGGCGCUAGGUGUGGGGCUCUUUCCAUGAGUUCCGUGCCGCAGCUAACGCAUUAAGCGCCCCGCCUGGGGAGUACGG